rnacentral:rRNA from 1 species
CCUACGGGCGGCAGCAGUAGGGAAUAUUGCUCAAUGGCGGAAACCCUGAAGCAGCAACGCCGCGUGGAGGAUGAAGGUUUUCGGAUUGUAAACUCCUUUUGUUAGAGAAGAUAAUGACGGUAUCUAACGAAUAAGCACCGGCUAACUCCGUGCCAGCAGCCGCGGUAAUACGGCGGGUGCAAGCGUUACUCGGAAUCACUGGGCGUAAAGGGCGCGUAGGCGGGAUAGCAAGUCAGAUGUGAAAUCCUAUGGCUUAACCAUAGAACUGCAUUUGAAACUGUUAUUCUAGAGUAUGGGAGAGGUAGGUGGAAUGCGUGGUGUAGGGGUAAAAUCCGUAGAGAUCAAGAGGAAUACUCAUUGCGAAGGCGACCUGCUAGAACAUAACUGACGCUGAUGCGCGAAAGCGUGGGGAGCAAACAGGAUUAGAUACCCCUGUAGUC